CUUUUAAAAGGGAGACGGCAUCUGAACCUUGCCGAGUAGGAAUGUUCCAGAAGUAAGAGAGAUGACUAGGGUUUCAAGAACAAGGACCAGCACCUAUGAAGGCUCUGAGGCACAGACCACUGUGACCUGUGGAGAAGUGAAACAUCCACCCGAGGCAUCCAAGAAUUCGCAGUUCAGAUCUGGCCUUCCAGAAAGUCAUGAAGUUCUACUUGUCAAGACAGCAAAGUGAAAGGCACGUUUUGAUUACUACCGACAUUCACAGUCUGGACACGGGUGACAAAUCUAAAAGAUAUUGCCCAUUCGUCCAACUGCCGCUGUCCUGCCAGUAUAUCGUCUGAGAUUACCAUCAGCUAAAUAUUGCAUUGUCUUUGGACAAUUUUCCUACAUUGUGACUCCUCACUACAUUUUCAAUGCUUUUCUAGUCCCAGACAAGCUACAGACUGUUAAUUUACACUUGCUUUUGCCUUGCCUGAGGAAAUUGAAAAUAAAUUUUAAUUUCCUAGUCAAGGGCUACGGGUGCUUUGUGUGGUUUGGAGGAAAAAAAAAUACUGUUAGAUGGAAUUAGGGAAUAUUAGGAGAGUUUCUGAAGUUAGUGAAGGUACACAGUAAUUGAUCACUUGCCCUCAUAGUGAGAGGUCAUUCCAAUGAGCAGAGGUUCUGUCAAUAUCUGAGAUCUGUUUGAUACCUGGCCUCAAUCUGUCGAUCACGCCCAGUAACCAUAUUCAUAGGCUUCAGAUCUGAAUUUUGAAUUGCAUCAGAAGCUUUCCUCUGGCCUCAGAGAUGCCAUUGAGACCAUUCUCAUAGUUAGUCACCACUCACACUACACAAAAUGGAAGAAAAAAACUUCCUUUGGGGCAAAUCAACAAUCUCUGGUAGGAAAAUAAACAAGGAUGCUUUCAGAAUACCAGAAGCCCAAGUCUGAGCAUCUGGAGGCAAAGGAAGAGUAGAGAAGUCUUUGUUGGUGGGACCACUGCCUGUAGGAAUUUAAGGGAACUUGGAUCUUAGGAGUUGCUCAGUUAAGUCCUAGAGAGAGCCUAAGUGGGACUGAUGAGAAGCAGAACAAAUUGCUAUUUCUGAGAAGAAAAACCAACACUUUUGGAUGUUAACUUUUGGAUGUUUGAAUUUUUUGUUUUAGUUUUUAUUCCUUUUGGGAAAAGCUAUUUUUAUCGCAAAAAAAUAUGUAAAGCUAGCAACAAAAUAGUUGAAAGUAUUUAUUGUGUACCUACUGUGUGAUAAUAGCAGCUGGGUUUCAAACACAAGUGAAUAUGAAAUAAAUGAGCCCUAGAUGCACAAAAA
rnacentral:lncRNA from 1 species